rnacentral:rRNA from 1 species
UACGGGGGGGGCAAGCGUUGUUCGGAAUUACUGGGCGUAAAGGGCUCGUAGGCGGCCAACUAAGUCAGACGUGAAAUCCCUCGGCUUAACCGGGGAACUGCGUCUGAUACUGGAUGGCUCGAGUUUGGGAGAGGGAUGCGGAAUUCCAGGUGUAGCGGUGAAAUGCGUAGAUAUCUGGAGGAACACCGGUGGCGAAGGCGGAUCUCUGGGCCAUUACUGACGCUGAGGAGCGAAAGCGUGGGGAGCGAACAGG